GGAAGGAUCAUUAUCGAAUCGUCAACACGGGUUGUUGCUGGCCCCCAGACGGGGCAUGUGCACGCUCUGUUUACACAUCCACUCACCCCUGUGCACCCUUUGCGGUUCUGUGGUUGGAAGACCCCGUCUUCCUUCUGUGGCUCUGCGUCUUUACACACACGCCGUAGUGAUGUCUCAUGGAAUGCUUUCGCGUUUAACGCAAUACAAUACAACUUUCAGCAACGGAUCUCUUGGCUCUCGCAUCGAUGAAGAACGCAGCGAAAUGCGAUAAGUAAUGUGAAUUGCAGAAUUCAGUGAAUCAUCGAAUCUUUGAACGCACCUUGCGCCCCUUGGUUAUUCCUCGGGGCAUGCCUGUUUGAGUAUCAUGAACACCUCAACUCUCACGGUCUUCCAUGAUGAGCUUGGACUUUGGGGGUUUGCUGGCCCUGCAGCCGGCUCCUCUCAAAUGAAUCAGCUUGCCAGUGUUUGGUGACGUCACGAGUGUGAUAACUAUCUACGCUUGCGGUCGUCUGCCAGGUAACCCUCAGCGAUGAAGGUUCAUUGGGGCUCAUAAACGUCUCUCCCUAGCGAGGACAGCUUUUGAAUGUUCGAUCUCAGAUCAGGUAGGACUACCCGCUGAACUUAAGCAUAUCAAUAAGCGGAGGAAAAGAAACUAACAAGGAUUCCCCUAGUAACUGCGA
rnacentral:rRNA from 1 species